GACGUAGGGAGCAAGCGUUGUCCGGAAUUACUGGGCGUAAAGAGCUCGUAGGCGGGCGCGUGCGUCUGAAAGGAAAUCUCAGGGCUCAACUCUGGGGCUUUUUCAGAUACGGCGCUUCUUGAGUGUAACAGAGGAAAGCAGAAUUCCCGGUGUAGCGGUGAAAUGCGUAGAUAUCGUAAGGAAGACCAGUGGCGAAGGCGGGUCUCUGGACAGUUCCUGACGCUGAGGCACGAAGGCUAGGGGAGCGAACAGG
rnacentral:rRNA from 1 species